AAAUUGAAGAGUUUGAUCAUGGCUCAGAUUGAACGCUGGCGGCAGGCCUAACACAUGCAAGUCGAACGGUAACAGGAAGCAGCUUGCUGCUUUGCUGACGAGUGGCGGACGGGUGAGUAAUGUCUGGGAAACUGCCUGAUGGAGGGGGAUAACUACUGGAAACGGUAGCUAAUACCGCAUAACGUCGCAAGACCAAAGAGGGGGACCUUCGGGCCUCUUGCCAUCGGAUGUGCCCAGAUGGGAUUAGCUAGUAGGUGGGGUAAAGGCUCACCUAGGCGACGAUCCCUAGCUGGUCUGAGAGGAUGACCAGCCACACUGGAACUGAGACACGGUCCAGACUCCUACGGGAGGCAGCAGUGGGGAAUAUUGCACAAUGGGCGCAAGCCUGAUGCAGCCAUGCCGCGUGUAUGAAGAAGGCCUUCGGGUUGUAAAGUACUUUCAGCGGGGAGGAAGGGAGUAAAGUUAAUACCUUUGCUCAUUGACGUUACCCGCAGAAGAAGCACCGGCUAACUCCGU
rnacentral:rRNA from 1 species